AGCACCGAAGCCUGAGGUCGUUUGGCCUCUAGGCAAUGUGGUGUUCAGGUCAGCUCGCGGAGGUACUGCUCCACCCUAAGUCCUAUAAUGAGUAAGGUUACUCGGACGUGGCCCACAGAGGGUGAAAGGCCCGUGGGGGUGGAGACUCAGAUUGGCCAGUAUCUCCCUGAGUGGACCUUGGAGUCGGGUUGUUUGUGAAUGCAGCCCAAAGUGGGUGGUAAACUCCAUCCAAGGCUAAAUACUAACACGAGUCCGAUAGCGAACAAGUACCGUGAGGGAAAGUUGAAAAGUACUUUGAAGAGAGAGUAAACAGUGCGUGAAACCGCUCAGAGGUAAACGGGUGGAGUUGAACUGCAAGCUCUGAGAAUUCAACUGGUGAGUAUGGCAUGAGCUGGGUAUAUUGGUUGACGGUUCGGGUCUGCUGAGCUGCAGGUCCUCGCCUUUUGGUGGGGAUGCGCGAUGCACUUGCCAAGUGUUGUGCGCCCGGACUGUAUCGGACCUGCUUGCCAGUGCACUUUCUCAGAGUAAUCACCACGACCGGCGUUGCUGUCUGGCUGUUGUAGUUAAACCGGCCUUGUAGAGUCCUUGUGGCUUUGCUUGGUCGGGAUGGCAGGUAGCCCGUUGUGCACUUUUGUGUGCUUCGGGUGUAAUCGCUGACUGCAUCAGUUCUGUGCGGUACGUCGGAGACGGCGGCUUGUUGUGUGUGCGUGCGUACUUGUUAUGCUGGCGGUGCUGAGUCUGGUUGCCGUGUUGCUUGCAAAUGCAAGCCCGGUGAUGGCUUGGUGUCGUUCGGUGUGCGGUUGCGUGCGUGGCACUAUACAGGGCCAAUAGUCUGUGGUGUAGUGGUAGACUAUCCACCUGACCCGUCUUGAAACACGGACCAAGGAGAGUAACAUGUACGCGAGUCAUUGGGCGUUACGAAACCCAAAGGCGCAGUGAAAGUAAAGGUUCGGCUUGUCCGGACUGAGGUGAGAUCCUGCCGUUUCUCACGCGCGGUACUACCAAGCAUCGAGCGGCAGGCGCAUCACCGGCCCGUCCCAUGGCGUAGAGGCGGCCUUGUG
rnacentral:rRNA from 1 species